rnacentral:rRNA from 1 species
UCUGUUUGAUCCUGGCAGAGGUUACUGCUAUCGAGGUUCGACUAAGCCAUGCGAGUCGAAUGUAGCAAUACAUGGCGAACUGCUCAGUAACACGUGGACAACCUGCCCUUAGGACGGGGAUAAACCCGGGAAACUGGGUAUAAUACCCGAUAGGUCUCGAUUGCUGGAAUGCAUCGAGAUUUAAAGCUCCGGCGCCUAAGGAUGGGUCUGCGGCCUAUCAGGUAGUAGUGGGUGUAGCGUACCUACUAGCCUACGACGGGUACGGGUUGUGAGAGCAAGAGCCCGGAGAUGGAUUCUGAGACACGAAUCCAGGCCCUACGGGGUGCAGCAGGCGCGAAAACUUUACAAUGCUGGCAACAGCGAUAAGGGAACCUCGAGUGCCAGGUUACAAAUCUGGCUGUCGAGAUGCCUAAAAAGCAUUUCAUAGCAAGGGCCGGGCAAGACCGGUGCCAGCCGCCGCGGUAACACCGGCGGCUCGAGUGGUAACCGUUAUUAUUGGG